AUUGAACGCUGGCGGCAUGCCUUACACAUGCAAGUCGAACGGUAACGGGCCUUCGGGUGCCGACGAGUGGCGAACGGGUGAGUAAUACAUCGGAACGUGCCCGAUCGUGGGGGAUAACGAGGCGAAAGCUUUGCUAAUACCGCAUACGAUCUACGGAUGAAAGCAGGGGACCGCAAGGCCUUGCGCGGACGGAGCGGCCGAUGGCAGAUUAGGUAGUUGGUGGGAUAAAAGCUUACCAAGCCGACGAUCUGUAGCUGGUCUGAGAGGAUGAUCAGCCACACUGGGACUGAGACACGGCCCAGACUCCUACGGGAGGCAGCAGUGGGGAAUUUUGGACAAUGGGCGCAGGCCUGAUCCAGCCAUGCCGCGUGCAGGAUGAAGGCCUUCGGGUUGUAAACUGCUUUUGUACGGAACGAAAAGCCUUCUUUUAAUACAGGAGGGUCAUGACGGUACCGGAAGAAUAAGCACCGGCUAACUACGUG
rnacentral:rRNA from 1 species